rnacentral:misc_RNA from 1 species
CAAAUUUCUGAAAGAUCUGCGAGAGAAAUUGGCAAGUGUUAGUAGUAGCCAAGGGAUUCCAGUGUUGCCUGCCAAAGUAGAUGAAGAUAAGCAAUAUCUUCUGGUGGAGCUUAACAAUUCAAAGAAAUUGCAGGUCACAGUAGCACUGAAUGUCAUCAACAUCAUCAACAUAUAUUUUGUGGCUUAUAAAGCAGGAGAUAAAGCCUCCUUCUUCAGCGAUGCUCCUGCCAAAGUAACUGAUUAUCUUUUCAAUGGCACAAUCCAGAUCAAACUUAAAUUUACUGGUAGCUAUAUUGAUUUGAAGAAGAAUGGAGCUGACCGAGAGAAUGUCGAUUUGGGUGUCCCAGCAUUAGAUCAGGCCAUAUUUACA